AGUGAAUAGAUACCCAGGUAGUCCACGCCGUAAACGAUGCACACUAGCUAUCAGAAAGUAUCGACCCUUCUUGUAGCGAAGCUAACGCGUUAAGUGUGCCGCCUGGGAAGUACGGUCGCAAGACUAAAACUCAAAGGAAUUGACGGGGGAUCGCACAAGCGGUGGAACAUGAGGUUUAAUUCGACGAUAAGCGGAGAACCUUACCAGGGCUUGACAUCUAGGGAAAGUCUAGGAAACUAGACCGUGCCGCAAGGAACCCUAAGACAGGUGUUGCACGGUUGUCGUCAGCUCGUGCUGUGAAGUGUGCGGUUAAGUCCGUAAACGAGCGCAACCCUUAUCAUGUGUUAUAUAUGUCACAUGAGACUGCCGGUCUUAAACCGGAGGAAGGUGGGGACGACGUCAAAUCAGCGUGGCCCUUACGCCCUGGGCUACACUCGUGUUACAAUGGUACAGACAAUGGGUUGCCAAGCCGUGAGGCGGAGCUAAUCCCACCAAAACUGUACCCAGUUCGGAUUGCAGUCUGAAACUCGACUGCAUGAAGCC
rnacentral:rRNA from 1 species